rnacentral:rRNA from 1 species
CCUAAAGCCACCAUAAUAACAUAAAUAAUAAUGUAACUUUAGAGCAAUCCAAACAAGGUACAGCCUGUUUGAAAAAGGAUACAACCUUCACUCGCGGGUAAUGUCAUCAGCACCUACUAAGUAGGCCUAAAAACAGCCACCCUUUAAAAUGCGUUAAAGCUUCAUCUCCCCAACACUUCUUCCCCCCCCCCCCGACCCCCCAAUUACUAUUGAGAACUUCUAUACCAUAUUGAAACUUUAAUGUUAAAACUAGUAGCAAGAAACUAUUCUCUUAAAUACACGUGUAAGUUAGAACGGACCUCCCACUAACACUUAUCCCGCUGUGAGAAAUAAUAAUAACCCAUUUAAAAAACUCUAUUAAUUAUUCUGUUAACCCUACACAAGAGUACUUCAAGAAAGAUAAAAAUGGAAAGAAGGAACUCGGCAAACCCAGAUCCCGCCUGUUUACUAAAAACACCGCCUCUUGACUUCUAUAAGAGGUCCAGCCUGCCCAGUGAAAAUUUCAACGGCCGCGGUAACCUGACCGUGCAAAGGUAGCGUAAUCACUUGUUUUUUAAAUAAAGACUAGUAUGAAUGGCACCACGAGGAUCAAACUGUCUCCUUUCCACAAUCAGUGAAACUAAUCUCCUAGUGAAAAAGCAAGGAUGUUACUGUAAGACGAAAAGACCCUGUGGAGCUUUAAACAAAUAACUAAUGCCAUACUUCCCUUCUUCUCCCCGCACCUUAGUUACUAAUUUUGGUUGGGGUGACCGCGGAGAAAAAUCUAUCCUCCAUGACGAAAUUACUUUAAACAAAACUACAACUUUACUUCACAAUAAAUUGACGCACUGACCCAAUAACUUGAUCAGCGAACUAAGUUACCCCAGGGAUAACAGCGCCAUCCGCCUUAAAAGCCCAUAUUGACAGGCGGCUUUACGACCUCGAUGUUGGAUCAGGGUAUCCUAGUGGUGCAGCCGCUACUAACGGUUCGCUUGUUCAUCGAUUAAAACCCUACGUGAUCUGAGU